rnacentral:rRNA from 1 species
UACGAAGGGGGCUAGCGUUGCUCGGAAUCACUGGGCGUAAAGCGCACGUAGGCGGGUUGCUAAGUCGGGGGUGAAAUCCUGGAGCUCAACUCCAGAACUGCCUUCGAUACCGGCGACCUAGAGUCCGGGAGAGGUGAGUGGAACUCCGAGUGUAGAGGUGAAAUUCGUAGAUAUUCGGAAGAACACCAGUGGCGAAGGCGGCUCACUGGCCCGGUACUGACGCUGAGGUGCGAAAGCGUGGGGAGCAAACAGG